GAGGCUGUCUUGCCCAGCCAUUCCACCAAGCUUAACAUCUCCAUUUACUUUACAAGCAUUUAGCAUCGUUUGCCAAACCAAAGAACGAGGAUCAAACAGCAUGCUUUCAAUCAAAUACUAUGUCAACCAUGCAAGUCCGGGCGACGCCAUGGGCAGCCUUUCUGGGCAGCAGGGAUGGAUGCAUCUCUUACAAGCAUUUCAUCGAAUAGGUGGAUGCAGGCCAAAUUCCCUUCAACUUCUCUUUUCCACCCACCGCCCUCGGUUCCCGGUACGAAAUAAUUCGUGGGAAGGGAUACGAAGUCGGGUGGGAGGCCUGCUUUCAAUCGAAACACUUGAUGCAGUCUAUAUAUUUGAGCUCGGUCUCAAAUAAAGAGUGGCGUUGGAAGGCACCUGCCGGCUGAAGGGACCAUGCAUAUAUACUUCUCUAGAAAGCCUUGGCCUUCACUCAAGGAGUGCAAGUAGAUCAAGCAGAUCUGGGUCUGACCCGAAAUAAAAACCAAAUCAGACCUUCCCAAUAGGAAAGCUAAGACCCAAUGAGUUAGGCAUGAGUCCAAUGUAUCAUCCCACUUUCGAUCGUAACAUUAACCUAACCAUCGAGUCCUUGCUCGAAUCGUAUUAUCUCUCACCCUUUGAGCAAGAGGUUAGAGGUUCAAUUCUGCAUGCUCGCCCUUGAUUCGGCCCUCAACUAACAUAUGAAUUCCCGACAUUUGGCUCAAAGGACCUAGGUUCCAACCUACAUGGGCUGAGAUGGAAUGAAGUAUCAAGUGGAUUAGAGGCCUUUUUUUGCAAUAUAAAAAGAAUACACGCAUGCAUAUAUAUACAUGUUUUACUCAUACAUACACAUUUCUCUAUUAUAUAUUCUUUAUGCACACAUACGUUGUGUGUGUCUAUGGGCAUGUGCAUAGGCGUGCAUGUAU
rnacentral:lncRNA from 1 species